CACGCUGUAAACGAUGGAUACUAGGUGUAGGAGGUUUCAAUACCAUCUGUGCCGUAGUUAACGCAAUAAGUAUCCCGCCUGGGGAGUACGACCGCAAGGUUGAAACUCAAAGGAAUUGACGGGGGCCCGCACAAGCAGCGGAGCAUGUGGUUUAAUUCGAAGCAACGCGAAGAACCUUACCAGGGCUUGACAUCUCCUGCCAACUGUAGAAAUACAGCCUUCCCUUUUGGGACAGGAAGACAGGUGG
rnacentral:rRNA from 1 species